AAGGAGUAUUUAUUAUUUUUGUUUUGUUUCUGGGUGAAUAGGUAGCCGGUUCAACCAUCGGUUGGUGGUGGUUGUUGGGUACUGUUUUUGUUCAGGUCGCUUUUUGUUGAAGUGUGGAUGUUGUGUGUUGGGGUUGGCACAGUGUUGGGGUUGGCAGAGUUGUUGUUUGGUUUGUCAUGUUGUUGGGUGUCUGGGACAAUCUGUUGUUCCUGAUUGUGGAUGCUUUCGAUGGGCUGACGGAGUGUUUCGUUGGUGUGUUGUGGGUGUUCAGUGUUGUUUGAGAACUGUAUAGUGGACGCGAGUAUCUUCUUUUUGUGAUUUUUUGUUUGAAAUCAUUUUUGUUCACGCGCUGAUUACAUGAAUGUUUUGUUUGUGUGGUUGGUGUGUGGGUGUCUUAGUAUUGUGUGUUGUCUG
rnacentral:misc_RNA from 2 species